rnacentral:lncRNA from 1 species
UUCUCUGGUGGCUUGGCUCCCCAGGUCGGGUGAAGCUACACUCGGGCUGAGCUGACUUGACGCUCUUCUGGGUGGUGCCCAGCCCACACAGGGGCUCCGUAAGUUGGGUCCUGAGAACACCUGUCUGGAUGAAGGUUUUGGAGCCAGGAGACUUCCUGCCCUCUUGCCUGCCAACCUGAACCACCGGGGUCACCCUUAGCAUAGCACAGCCCUGAGGUGACUGACCAUCCUGUGGACUGUGUGGUCCCACCUCUGGCCUGGCCACUCCCGGGGAGCCAGCAAGGACACCAGAGGCUGCCUAGCAGGUGGGCCACACUGCUUCCAGCCUUAGCCAGCCAGUGACAAGUGAAUCCAGACGUCACCCAUGUGUUUUGGAACAUUUAUGUAAGAUUGUCAUAUGAAAUGUAUUUGAGAACUGCAUUAAAACUUUUAACU